CAAUAGCGUAUAUUUAAGUUGCUGCAGUCAAAAAGCUCGUAGUUGGAUUUCGGGUGGGAAUGGCCGGUCCGCCGUUUCGGUGUGCACUUGCUACGCCCACCUUGCUGCCGGGGACGUGCUCUUGAGUUCACGCUCGGGACACGGAGUCGGCGAGGUUACUUUGAGUAAAUUAGAGUGUUCAAAGCAGGCCUACGCUCUGAAUACAUUAGCAUGGAAUAACACGAUAGGACUCUGGCCUAUCUUGUUGGUCUGUAGGACCGGAGUAAUGAUUAAGAGGGACAGUCGGGGGCAUUCGUAUUUCAUUGUCAGAGGUGAAAUUCUUGGAUUUAUGAAAGACGAACUACUGCGAAAGCAUUUGCCAAGGAUGUUUUCAUUAA
rnacentral:rRNA from 1 species